UUGGUUAACAAUAUGAGCUUUUGUGUCAUCGGAGAUAUCAUAGGUUUGGUUUUCGAUCUCAGAGGCCCCAUAUUCGGUUAAUGGAUGAACCGGCCUAUCAUUUGGAUAUGCCGAAGAUGGACGCCUUGGCUGAUGCGCUGGAUGAAUUCACUGGAGCUGUACUUGUCUGUCGUGAAUCUAGGUGGAUCUCACGUGUCUGUUAUGAUGAAGAAGAGUGGAAUUUUGGUGGUGGAAGAUGGAACUCUAGCUGCUUUUCCUGUAACAUUUGAGGAGCACAAAGAGGAGCUUCAAAGCGACAUUAAGGCUGAGGUUGUACCUACGAAACUUCUUGUUCUGCCGCUAAACUAUAGUUUCUUGCUGGGUUAUGUACAUCGGAAAGUGAUGUCCGGUUCUAACAUACUAGCAAUAAAAGACCGGCUGCAUGGAAUAUACUAGGAACCUUGGUCUCCAACCUUUCAGCUUGCUAAAGGAAAGAUCAUCCUUGAUGUUGGCUGUGCAGUUCCUACCCAACUGUUCUGCAGAAUAUUGGAAUCUCAGCAUCGCCAGGCAGGGCAGGUGAGUUGAUCAGUUACUAACUGCAGAACAAAGUAGAAUGUAAUUAAAUCAACCUCACCAUCUCUGUUGAUUUUGAUCUACGAUAUUAGGAAUUAGAAAUAAGCCUCAAACUGCAUUUUAUAUAGCACACUACUGCUCAUAAUGGUUGCAUGAUAGCUACCUCCUCCACACUACUCUGAUCAGGAAGCUUGGGCACCAACCAGAUCUUCAAUUCUCUAAACCCUAUGCAACAAGAAGUUUUUGAGACAUUACCAUGUCAAAUAGUCAAGGUACAUUACUACUUGGCUAUGGAGAUGCCAAGCAUUUUUCUGCUGCUGUUUGUUUAUUCUUUUACUUAGUUUCUAUACUGUAUAUCUAUUCAUAUGAGAGAAUUCAAACAAAGCAACAUUCGUAUGACAUUUAUAUAUACCUUAUCCAUUGAAUAGACA